rnacentral:rRNA from 1 species
AUAUCAAUAAGCGGAGGAAAAGAAACCAACAGGGAUUGCCUUAGUAACGGCGAGUGAAGCGGUAACAGCUCAAAUUUGAAAUCUGGCUCUCGGCCCGAAUUGUAAUUUGUAGAAGAUGCUUUGGGUGUGAGUCCGGUCUAAGUUCCUUGGAACAGGACGUCAUAGAGGGUGAGAAUCCCGUACGUGACUGGCCGCCUUGCCGCC